rnacentral:rRNA from 1 species
AUUGAUUUUAUGCUUGCAUAAAUGAUUUUUGGAUUCGGAGCGAGUGGCGAACUGGUGAGUAACACGUGGGUAACCUGCCCCGAAGCGGGGGAUAACAUUUGGAAACAAGUGCUAAUACCGCAUAAUUAGUUGGAACCGCAUGGUUCCAACUUGAAAGAUGGCUCUGCUAUCACUUUGGGAUGGACCCGCGCCGUAUUAGUUAGUUGGUGAGAUAAAAGCCCACCAAGACGAUGAUACGUAGCCGACCUGAGAGGGUAAUCGGCCACAUUGGGACUGAGACACGGCCCAGACUCCUACGGGAGGCAGCAGUAGGGAAUCUUCCACAAUGGACGAAAGUCUGAUGGAGCAACGCCGCGUGAGUGAUGAAGGUUUUCGGGUCGUAAAACUCUGUUGUUAAAGAAGAACAAGUGUUAGAGUAACUGUUAACACUUUGACGGUAUUUAACCAGAAAGCCACGGCUAACUACGUGCCAGCAGCCGCGGUAAUACGUAGGUGGCAAGCGUUGUCCGGAUUUAUUGGGCGUAAAGCGAGCGCAGGCGGUUUUGUAAGUCUGCUGUGAAAGCCCUCAGCUCAACUGAGGAAGUGCAGUGGAAACUACAAAACUUGAGUACAGAAGAGGAAAGUGGAACUCCAUGUGUAGCGGCGAAAUGCGUAGAUAUAUGGAAGAACACCAGUGGCGAAGGCGGCUUUCUGGUCUGUUACUGACGCUGAGGCUCGAAAGCAUGGGUAGCGAACAGGAUUAGAUACCCUGGUAGUCCAUGCCGUAAACGAUGAAUACUAGGUGUUGGAGGGUUUCCGCCCUUCAGUGCCGCAGCUAACGCAUUAAGUAUUCCGCCUGGGGAGUACGACCGCAAGGUUGAAACUCAAAGGAAUUGACGGGGGCCCGCACAAGUGGUGGAGCAUGUGGUUUAAUUCGAUGCUACGCGAAGAACCUUACCAGCUCUUGACAUCUUCUGCCAACCCAAGAGAUUGGGCGUUCCCUUCGGGGACAGAAUGACAGGUGGUGCAUGGUUGUCGUCAGCUCGUGUCGUGAGAUGUUGGGUUAAGUCCCGCAACGAGCGCAACCCUUAUUAUUAGUUGCCAGCAUUUAGUUGGGCACUCUAGUGAGACUGCCGGUGAUAAA